UACGGGGGGGGCAAGCGUUGUUCGGAAUUACUGGGCGUAAAGGGCUCGUAGGUGGCCAACUAAGUCAGACGUGAAAUCCCCAGGCUCAACUUGGGAACUGCGUCUGAUACUGGAUGGCUUGAGUUCGGGAGAGGGAUGCGGAAUUCCAGGUGUAGCGGUGAAAUGCGUAGAUAUCUGGAGGAACACCGGUGGCGAAGGCGGGUCUCUGGGCCGAUACUGACGCUGAGGAGCGAAAGCGUGGGGAGCGAACAGG
rnacentral:rRNA from 1 species